AUUGAUUUAUUUCACUCAUCUGUGAGUCAUUAUUAUUUUUUAUAUAUUUUUGUACGUGAUGCAAUUUUUAUCCUACAAGGGAUUGUGAAAGUCCUCUUGCUGAGGUAUGAUCGAAUCCCGACUAGAAUCAAAUUCAAUAAUAACUCUAUGUAACCAUCAGCACUUGAUAUCUGUCAAAGUUCAGUUUCUUAGAAAAGACCAUCCAUCCCACGUUAUUCUCCAAUCAACAAUUUCUUGUUUGCUUAACCAAUG
rnacentral:lncRNA from 1 species